rnacentral:rRNA from 1 species
GAUGAACGCUGGCGGCGUGCCUAAUACAUGCAAGUCGAGCGAACGGACGAGAAGCUUGCUUCUUUGAUGUUAGCGGCGGACGGGUGAGUAACACGUGGAUAACCUACUUAUAUGACUGGGAUAACUUCGGGAAACCGGUGCCAAUACUGGAUAAUACUUUGUACCGCAUGGAUCAAAAGAGAAACACAGUCUUGCUGUCACUUAUAGAUGGAUCCGCGCUGCAUUAGCUAGUUGGUAAGGUAACGCCUUACCAAGGCAACGAUGCGUAGCCGACCUGAGAGGGUGAUCGGCCACACUGGAACUGAGACACGGUCCAGACUCCUACGGGAGGCAGCAGUGGGGAAUCUUCGGCAAUGGGCGAAAGCCUGACCCAGCAACGCCGCGUGAGUGAUGAAGGUCUUCGGAUCGUAAAGCUCUGUUGUUAGGAAAGAACAUCUGUGUAUGUAACCGAGCACAUCUUGACGGUACCUAAACAGGAAGCCCCGGCUAACUACGUG